rnacentral:rRNA from 1 species
UCUGGAGACAGGUGCUGCAUGGCUGUCGUCAGCUCGUGUCGUGAGAUGUUGGGUUAAGUCCCGCAACGAGCGCAACCCUUGCCUUUAGUUGCCAGCAGUUCGGCUGGGCACUCUAAAGGGACUGCCGGUGUUAAACCGGAGGAAGGUGGGGAUGACGUCAAGUCCUCAUGGCCUUUAUGACCAGGGCUACACACGUACUACAAUGGCCGAUACAAAGGGCAGCGACACUGCGAGGUGAAGCCAAAUCCCGUAAAAUCCGGUCUCAGUCCGGAUUGGAGUCUGCAACUCGACUCCAUGAAGUUGGAAUCGCUAGUAAUCGUGGAUCAGCAUGCCACGGUGAAUACGUUCCCGGGCCUU